rnacentral:rRNA from 1 species
GACGAACGCUGGCGGCGUGGAUUAGGCAUGCAAGUCGAACGGUAUCAUCCUUUCGGGGGUGAGAGAGUGGCGAACUGGUGAGUAACACGUAGGUUAUCUACCCUCAAGACGGGGACAACCCAGGGAAACUUGGGCUAAUACCGGAUGUGAGCAACUUUUAGUUGUUUGAAAGGUGGCGUAAGCUGUCGCUUGGGGAUGAGCCUGCGUCCUAUUAGUUAGUUGGUGAGGUAACGGCUCACCUAGGCAAUGAUAGGUAGGCGGCCUUAACGGGUGGUCGCCCACACUGGGAUUGAGAUACGGCCCAGACUCCUACGGGAGGCAGCAGUCGAGAAUAGUCUACAAUGGCCGAAAGGCUGAUAGUGCGACGCCGCGUGAACGAAGAAGCCCUUCGGGUGUAAGUUCUUUUAUAUGUGAGCAGUGCUUUCUAUGUGAACAGCAUGGGGAGAGAGAUAUUAGCAUAUGAAUAAGCAACGGCUAACUCCGUGCCAGCAGCCGAC